rnacentral:rRNA from 1 species
UACGUAGGGUGCGAGCGUUGUUCGGAAUUAUUGGGCGUAAAGAGCUUGUAGGCGGUUUGUCGCGUCUGCUGUGAAAAUCCGGGGCUCAACCCCGGACUUGCAGUGGGUACGGGCAGACUAGAGUGUGGUAGGGGAGACUGGAAUUCCUGGUGUAGCGGUGGAAUGCGCAGAUAUCAGGAGGAACACCGAUGGCGAAGGCAGGUCUCUGGGCCACUACUGACGCUGAGAAGCGAAAGCAUGGGGAGCGAACAGG